rnacentral:rRNA from 1 species
UACGUAGGGUGCAAGCGUUAAUCGGAAUUACUGGGCGUAAAGCGUGCGCAGGCGGCUAUGCAAGACAGAUGUGAAAUCCCCGGGCUCAACCUGGGAACUGCAUUUGUGACUGCAUGGCUAGAGUGCGGCAGAGGGGGAUGGAAUUCCGCGUGUAGCAGUGAAAUGCGUGAGAUAUGCGGAGGAACACCGAUGGCGAAGGCAAUCCCCUGGGCCUGCACUGACGCUCAUGCACGAAAGCGUGGGGAGCAAACAGG